AGGAGCAUUUACUCAGUGAGUGCAAGAGGUUUGUUUGAAACAGACCGCAAUGGAGAGAUCAGCGCCCAGGGAAGCGAGGGAACAGCAGGCUCCUUCCAGCAGCACAUCGGGAUGGGAGCCUGGGACACAGAGGGAGCUCCGAGACCGGGAUUGAUUCGGGGCAAGUAUUUGAUGGAUCAAUCCAAGAGUGACUAAUUGCUUCUCACACCCAGCAGACAAUUACUUGAAGGACCAAGACAGUGUAAUAUGUCCUCGGUACAAAGCCAAGUGUGAUUAGUUCCUUCUAACAAACAGCAGGGGAUGUCUCUUCUCUCUUCCUCCAGACAAUUAUAUGAAGGAGCAAGACAAUGUAACAUUAUCUCUGUACGAGGCCAAGUGUGAUCAGUUCCUUCUAACAAACAGCAGGGAAUUAGAAGACUAUUUGCAAUUAGAAGACUUAAAACCAGGCAUCGCUUCCCAAUCUGCCGAGUUUAUUGGCGCCUGAAUAUCAUUGGGUUUUGAAGUAAAAAAGCAUCGUUCACAAUGGGGGAGAAAUCGUAUGCGUGUUGUACAUGUGGACAAGUCUUUAGCAGAUCACUGCCCGUCACAGUGGGGAAAGGCCAUUCAUCUGUUCCAAGGAUUCACUCGAUCAUCCACCUUGCUGAAACCAGAGCAAAUUCACACCGAGAACAGACUUUUGAAAUGUUCAGAAUGUGGGAAAUGUUUUAAAAACUCUGGGGCACUAAUAUCCCAACAACAUCCUCACAGUGACGAGAGAUCCUUCAUGUGCUCUCACUGUGGGUUCAAGCUAUCAUGCAACCUCAUUAAACACCAGUGGAUCCACACUGGGGAGAGACCAUUCACCUGCUCACAUGAUGGGAAAGGAUUUUCUCAUAAAUCCAACCUGUUAAAACACCAGCGAUUUCUCAGAAGGUAGAGGCUGUUCUGCUGUACUGACUGUGGGAAGAGAUUCAUUGUGAAAUCCCAGCUGCUGAAACAUCAGUGUAUUCAUGAGAAAUGACAGUGCCUGGUUUUUACUGUGUACAUCUCCUUGCUUCAUAGUCUCAGCCAGAAGAUUUCAUUUCAAUUCCCACCUGAUAUGGAGCUAUGUCAAAAGAACUUAAUUAUUUUUGUAAUUGAUAACUGAAUGAUAUCCACUGGGGCAGGUUUCUACUGAAGUUGAUGAACUCCAGCUCAGUUAAAGGGAUGCCUGUUGUGGGUGACAGUGAAAUAAAUGCACUGUGUUAAACACACUGCAUAAAACCUAUUUCUAAUUUUUAAGUGCUCAUUGAAGUGAUCUCCCUCUGACUGUGUUAUGGAAGAAUCACUCAAUGUUUUGUAAAAAAUUACCAGGAGACACAGAAAAUCCUUCACGAAAUUAAACUUUAAUCUUGCAAAAUCAAAA